rnacentral:rRNA from 1 species
GACGAACGCUGGCGGCGUGCUUAACACAUGCAAGUCGAACGGACAGGCCCUGCUCUUGCGGGGUGCUCGAGUGGCGAACGGGUGAGAAACACGUGUGUAACCUGCCCCUGUCUUUGGGAUAACUUCAGGAAACUGGGGCUCAUACCGCAUAGGAGCUCCUGCUGCAUGGUGGUGGUUGGUAAGUUUCGGCGGUUCGGGCUGGACUCGCGGCUUAUCAGCUUGUUGGUGGGGUAGUGGCUUACCAAGGCUUUGACGGGUAGCCGGCCUGAGAGGGUUACCGGCCACAUUGGGACUGAGAUACGGCCCAGACUCCUACGGGAGGCAGCAGUGGGGAAUAUUGCACAAUGGGCGGAAGCCUGAUGCAGCAACGCCGCGUGCGGGAUGACGGCCUUCGGGUUGUAAACCGCUUUCGCCUGAGACGAAGCGUGAGUGACGGUAAUGGGUAAAGAAGCACCGGCUAACUACGUG